CCUGCACAAGCGGUGGAGCAUGUGGUUUAAUUGAAGCAACGCGCAGAACCUUACCAGCGUUUGACAUCCUCAUCGCGAUUUCCAGAGAUGGAUUUCUUCAGUUCGGCUGGAUGAGUGACAGGUGCUGCAUGGCUGUAUCAGCUCGUGUCGUGAGAUGUUGGGUUAAGUCCCGCAACGAGCGCAACCCUCGUCCUUAGUUGCCAUCAUUUAGUUGGGCACUCUAAGGAAACUGCCGGUGAUAAGCCGGAGGAAGGUGGGGAUGACGUCAAGUCCUCAUGGCCCUUACACGCUGGGCUACACACGUGCUACAAUGGCUGUACAGUGAGCAGGACAAACGAGGGUAUG
rnacentral:rRNA from 1 species